GCUUCCGUGGUCCAAUGGUUAGGAUUGUAAGCAACCAUUACAGUUCCUCGUCAAUGUCAAAUUACUAACAUAAUUCUAGCCACCCUUCCACUCUUCAGUGAGCUAGGUGGAGGUUCGUGUUCGAUUCACGGCGGUUGCA